GCAUCAUGAUUUACAUUUGAGUGAGUGGCGAACUGGUGAGUAACACGUGGGAAACCUGCCCAGAAGCGGGGGAUAACACCUGGAAACAGAUGCUAAUACCGCAUAACAACUUGGACCGCAUGGUCCGAGUUUGAAAGAUGGCUUCGGCUAUCACUUUUGGAUGGUCCCGCGGCGUAUUAGCUAGAUGGUGGGGUAACGGCUCACCAUGGCAAUGAUACGUAGCCGACCUGAGAGGGUAAUCGGCCACAUUGGGACUGAGACACGGCCCAAACUCCUACGGGAGGCAGCAGUAGGGAAUCUUCCACAAUGGACGAAAGUCUGAUGGAGCAACGCCGCGUGAGUGAAGAAGGGUUUCGGCUCGUAAAACUCUGUUGUUAAAGAAGAACAUAUCUGAGAGUAACUGUUCAGGUAUUGACGGUAUUUAACCAGAAAGCCACGGCUAACUACGUGCCAGCAGCCGCGGUAAUACGUAGGUGGCAAGCGUUGUCCGGAUUUAUUGGGCGUAAAGCGAGCGCAGGCGGUUUUUUAAGUCUGAUGUGAAAGCCUUCGGCUCAACCGAAGAAGUGCAUCGGAAACUGGGAAACUUGAGUGCAGAAGAGGACAGUGGAACUCCAUGUGUAGCGGU
rnacentral:rRNA from 2 species